rnacentral:rRNA from 1 species
AUGGACUUGGGCGUCGGGCCUUUUCCCACAGAAGAGCCCUGGUUCGUCCCGGCGCCGCGAUCCGCUCUGAGCCUUGGCUGCUGCAGCCUGGGCUCCUUGGUGACUCCUUCCCGUGCUCGCCUCUUUAACCGUGCGGUGCCGCUCAUCUCGCGCCACCAUCUCGUCCUCCUGCGAAUUCAAGACAAAAGAAACUCAUUCCUCGAGGACCGGACUAUCCUCCAGUUGGCGAUAUGCAACCUAUUCCUUGGCACAUGUGAUACGCUCCCUCCUCUAAACUUCAGCUAUGAGUUCAAGAGUGAUUAUUCCAACGGAUAUGCCAUCCUAACCGAUGCGGAUUGUCGAUCCAAAGAUGGGCCAUCGUCAUCUUUGCUACCGAGCAAAUCGCCUUUCUUCCGAGUGAUCAUCAUCGGCUCCGCACACCAAGACCCGCAGUAUAAUCUCUAUGUGAUCUCUUUUGACAGAAGAAGCUGGAGCGUCCAAGCCAAUUGCUUCAAUAAUAGUUUCCAACUGGAGCAUGACAUGUCGUUUAGCAAUGCUGUUGUGUGCCGUGGCAUCGCACACUGGGUAUUUUGCUAUCAUGGAGGUAUUCACGUACUUAACAUGAACGCAAGGACGUACCACAUCUCUACAUGGGAGUUCCCUAACGCAACGGACCACUUCCACACGGGUUACCCCUGCCUUACUCUAGCAAGCAAUGGGAAGCUAUCCCUGCUCCAGAUGCGAAGGAACCUUCCCCAAGUAGAGAUCUGGAAGCAUUAUGAGGACCACGAAAACCUAGCAAGUAUUAAGAAUUGGUUAUGUACUGGGACGAUCAAGUUAAACAAACUUGGAAAGUGGUUGAACGACGACAACGACAAGAUUUGGGAGAGAAGUGUGGUACACUAA